GAUAAAUCGCCACGAAGCCGAACCUCAGCAUGCCAAGUACCAGCUGCACGGGGGCGGGGGGUGUGGCGGCAAAGAAAGGGAGACAGAAAGAAAGAGAGAUAGAGCAACAGAGAGACAACAGAGUCUUGCACUUGACUGUGUACGGUGCAGUGUUUGGUGCUCAGACGAGCUCCUCACGAACACCAUCCGCACCGCUCGACUCCUCCCACCACCCGACCUUCAGACUCCGUGCGACGCCGCGAGUACCUGAAUAAGUCCCAUGAGCGCGGUGACGACCACGG